rnacentral:lncRNA from 1 species
CCUACUAAGUAUUAAUCUCUAGAAAAAUAAAAGACCAAAAAAAUGCAUGAUGGAAAUGAUGAAUAGUUGCUCUAUUUGCUUACUUUCAAGUACCUAGCUUUUAUAUUAGAGUUCUUCCAGGAAUUAUUAAAACUGAAAUUACUAUCUUUGGGAGGCAUAAAACUAAAGUCUAGGUAAGAGAAAGGCAUAAUAUAAAGUUUGAGCUGCUGUUUAUCUUGUUCCUACUACACUAAGUUCUGGAGAUUUAUUUUGGAAACUUACAAAUCACAUGAUGAGUUCGUAGCAUUACAAACUACCUACCACAGCCAUACUUGCUAUAGCAUAUUUUACUACACUUACAUUGAGUUUGAUCGAGCUGUGUAGACCCUUAGGAGCUUUUCAUGUGGUUAAAUUAAGAUAUUCACUUGCACACAUCUACUACACCAUUAUCACUCACUGUCCCAAAUAUUGUUAUUCUCUCUCUCUAAAAAAAAUCAAUGCAGAAGAGGCAUGGGUUAUGCAAAAAUAUACGAGGAAAUAAAAAGGGGCAAGUGCCUGGAACCUCGAAAAAGAAAGAAAAAGAGUGAGACGAGAGGUAAAAAUGGACAAGUGUCCGCAGUAGAAUUAGGGGUACAAAGAUGCCCACUUUAACGGAAAAAUGGACAAGUGUCCGACAGUAGAAUUAGGGGUGUCUACUACCCACCUGAAAAAGAAAAGAAAAAGAUAGCCCAUGUUCUCCCAAAGCAAAGAUCAAAGAAGAGGAGAGAUAGUAAUAUGAGGAGCAAUGAGAAGUAAGUUUUAUUAUCACCAUCACUAUCAUUUACUCCACCACACAUGCACAUCUUAAUUUAAUUAUAUGCUGAGUUCCUUUGGAUCCAUGGCUUGAUUAGACAACAUAUGUAUGAGCUGUUUUUCACUCCUAUGAGCUCCACUUAAAUAUUUCAUUAGCUAUAGGUAAGUGACAUUUUGGUAAGGAUCCACAAAUACCACAUAUAGAGAGACUUGAG